GCUGCACACCUGAAGUCCCUGGCACAGGUAGCUCUGAGUCUCAAGGGAAACGGACACGGUUGAAAGAGCUGAGGCCCAGAGCAGGGCACUCCUCGUGAAGCCCUUCAAACACAGACCUUAGUGAUUUCCUACUCCCUUCUCUGUGCUGGGCUUCAGUUUCCCUGCAGAAUGAUACAGCACCUGCGUGUGGUGUGUGAUACCUGCUUUGCCUUUGCAAGUUUAGGACAGCACCAAAUUAUCAAUUUUAUCAACCCCCUGGAAUCAGUUAGAGCCUUCAUGGUAUGCAAAUACUAUUUCAGCCUGUCAGCAGACUUAGGCAGAAAAUCUUUCUUCUGUCAAGAAAUACUGUCAAGACAAAUAUGA
rnacentral:lncRNA from 1 species